CCUACGGGAUGCACCAGUGGGGAAUAUUGCACAAUGGGCGCAAGCCUGAUGCAGCCAUGCCGCGUGUAUGAAGAAGGCCUUCGGGUUGUAAAGUACUUUCAGCGGGGAGGAAGGCGAUAAGGUUAAUAACCUUGUCGAUUGACGUUACCCACAGAAGAAGCACCGGCUAACUCCGUGCCAGCAGCCGCGGUAAUACGGAGGGUGCAAGCGUUAAUCGGAAUUACUGGGCGUAAAGCGCACGCAGGCGGUCUGUCAAGUCGGAUGUGAAAUCCCCGGGCUCAACCUGGGAACUGCAUUCGAAACUGGCAGGCUGGAGUCUUGUAGAGGGGGGUAGAAUUCCAGGUGUAGCGGUGAAAUGCGUAGAGAUCUGGAGGAAUACCGGUGGCGAAGGCGGCCCCCUGGACAAAGACUGACGCUCAGGUGCGAGAGCGUGGGGAGCAAACAGGAUUAGAUACCCGAGU
rnacentral:rRNA from 1 species